rnacentral:rRNA from 1 species
CCUACGGGAGGCAGCAGUGGGGGAUAUUGCUCAAUGGGGGAAACCCUGAUGCAGCGACGCCGCGUGGGUGAAGAAGUAUUUCGGUAUGUAAAGCCCUAUCAGCAGGGAAGAAAGAAGACGGUACCUGACUCAGAAGCCCCGGCUAACUACGUACCAGCAGCCGCGGUAAUACGUAGGGGGCGAGCGUUAUCCGGAUUCACUGGGUGUAAAGGGAGCGUAGACGGCCGUGCAAGCCAGGAGUGAAAGCCCGGGGGCCAACCCCGGGACUGCUCUUGGAACUGUGCGGCUGGAGUGCGGGAGGGGCAGGCGGAAUUCCUGGUGUAGCGGUGAAAUGCGUAGAUAUCAGGAGGAACACCGGCGGCGAAGGCGGCCUGCUGGACCGCGACUGACGUUGAGGCUCGAAAGCGUGGGGAGCGAACAGGAUUAGAUACCCUUGUAGUC